rnacentral:lncRNA from 1 species
UUGGUUCUAGGAUUGCUAUUUCUAGGAUAAGCAUUUGUUUUAUUAGUCCUAGGUUGAGCCUUAGGUGGUUGGGGUUUGGCUUCAACCUUAUUCUUAAAUCCUAUGCCAUGCUUGGUUGAUUCAAAUUAACAAGGACCUAAUUCAAAUUCUUGUGGGAAGAAUUAAACUUAUUUAAGGUACCUUUGAGUCUAUCUACCUCAUUUUUGAGAUGCAAACAAGAAGAACAAUUUUUAGUAGAACUUUCGGGCUUAUUGGCGCUUCUUUUUCCAAAAAACUUGUUUUCCUCUUUCAGCUUUUCAUUUUCUAAAACCAGUUUUUC